rnacentral:rRNA from 1 species
UACGUAGGGGGCUAGCGUUGUCCGGAAUCAUUGGGUGUAAAGAGCGUGUAGGCGGCCCGGUAAGUCCGCUGUAAAAGUCAAAGGCUCAACCUUUGAAUGUCAGUGGAUACUGCCGGGCUAGAGUCCGGAAGAGGCGAGUGGAACUCCUGGUGUAGCGGUGGAAUGCGCAGAUAUCAGGAAGAACACCAACGGCGAAGGCAGCUCGCUAGGACGGUACUGACGCUGAGACGCGAAAGCGUGGGGAGCGAACAGG